AUAGAAGAAAGCUUAGAUUAAUCUAUCCAUAACAAUAAAAAUUUACUACAUAUUUUCAUCUUUUUCUAUAUUUUUUAAUGUUUAUUUUUGUACGCUCAAUAAAAAGAGCAAUAUAAGCCAGCAUUGAGAAAUACAUCUUAAGAAUUAGGUAUAGGCAAAUAUAUAAAUCGAGCAAAAAACUAAAGAUUACCUUUGCCCCCCUCCUCCCCCACACAUGCCUCUCUCUUGGCAUUUUUUUCAUACUUUU
rnacentral:lncRNA from 1 species